rnacentral:rRNA from 1 species
GACGAACGCUGGCGGCGUGCCUAAUACAUGCAAGUAGAACGCUGAAGAGAGGAGCUUGCUCUUCUUGGAUGAGUUGCGAACGGGUGAGUAACGCGUAGGUAACCUGCCUUGUAGCGGGGGAUAACUAUUGGAAACGAUAGCUAAUACCGCAUAACAAUGGAUGACACAUGUCAUUUAUUUGAAAGGGGCAAUUGCUCCACUACAAGAUGGACCUGCGUUGUAUUAGCUAGUAGGUGAGGUAAUGGCUCACCUAGGCGACGAUACAUAGCCGACCUGAGAGGGUGAUCGGCAACACUGGGACUGAGACACGGCCCAGACUACUACGGGAGGCAGCAGUAGGGAAUCUUCGGCAAUGGGGGCAACCCUGACCGAGCAACGCCGCGUGAGUGAAGAAGGGUUUCGGAUCGUAAAGCUCUGUUGUAAGUCAAGAACGGGUGUGAGAGUGGAAAGUUCACACUGUGACGGUAGCUUACCAGAAAGGGACGGCUAACUACGUG